CUUAUAUAUCCUUAUAUAGAAAAUUUUCCAAACUUCAACACCUCAUAUCUCCUAAUCCAAUUGUUCAAACAAACUCAAAUUUUACAUGAGAUACUAAUUUAUUCUUAUUAACUUUUACAAUAACUAUGAAAUAUAAAUUCAUUGCGGAUCUUGAGAUAUCUUAAAUAUCCUAACAGUCACUUUAAAUCCUUGACUUUAUAUCUUAAAUUAAUACCUUAACUUCAAAUGGCUAUAUCUUUUUUAUCUUAAUUCCAAAUCCUCUAAUUUUUGUACACAAAUUAUAGCUCAAAUCUUAAACUUUACAACAU
rnacentral:lncRNA from 1 species